rnacentral:rRNA from 1 species
GACGAACGCUGGCGGCGUGCCUAAUACAUGCAAGUUGGGCGCUGAAGGUUGGUACUUGUACCGACUGGAUGAGCAGCGCACGGGUGAGUAACGCGUGGGGAAUCUGCCUUUGAGCGGGGGACAACAUUUGGAAACGAAUGCUAAUACCGCAUAAAAACUUUAAACACAAGUUUUAAGUUUGAAAGAUGCAAUUGCAUCACUCAAAGAUGAUCCCGCGUUGUAUUAGCUAGUUGGUGAGGUAAAGGCUCACCAAGGCGAUGAUACAUAGCCGACCUGAGAGGGUGAUCGGCCACAUUGGGACUGAGACACGGCCCAAACUCCUACGGGAGGCAGCAGUAGGGAAUCUUCGGCAAUGGACGAAAGUCUGACCGAGCAACGCCGCGUGAGUGAAGAAGGUUUUCGGAUCGUAAAACUCUGUUGGUAGAGAAGAACGUUGGUGAGAGUGGAAAGCUCAUCAAGUGACGGUAACUACCCAGAAAGGGACGGCUAACUACGUG